rnacentral:rRNA from 1 species
UACGUAGGUGGCAAGCGUUGUCCGGAAUUAUUGGGCGUAAAGCGCGCGCAGGCGGUCCUUUAAGUCUGAUGUGAAAGCCCACGGCUCAACCGUGGAGGGUCAUUGGAAACUGGGGACUUGAGUGCAGAAGAGGAAAGCGGAAUUCCACGUGUAGCGGUGAAAUGCGUAGAGAUGUGGAGGAACACCAGUGGCGAAGGCGACUUUCUGGUCUGUAACUGACGCUGAGGCGCGAAAGCGUGGGGAGCAAACAGG